UGAGGAAUAUUGGUCAAUGGGUGCAAGCCUGAACCAGCCAUCCCGCGUGAAGGACGACUGCCCUAUGGGUUGUAAACUUCUUUUGUCUAGGGAUAAACCUACCCUCGUGAGGGUAGCUGAAGGUACUAUACGAAUAAGCACCGGCUAACUCCGUGCCAGCAGCCGCGGUAAUACGGAGGGUGCAAGCGUUAUCCGGAUUUAUUGGGUUUAAAGGGUCCGUAGGCGGACUUAUAAGUCAGUGGUGAAAGCCUGUCGCUUAACGAUAGAACUUUCAUUGAUACUGUUAGUCUUGAGUACAGUCGAGGUAGGCGGAAUGUGUCAUGUAGCGGUGAAAUGCUUAGAUAUGACACAGAACACCGAUUGCGAAGGCAGCUUGCUAAGCUGUAACUGACGCUGAGGCACGAAAGCGUGGGGAGCAAACA
rnacentral:rRNA from 1 species